GGAAAAUACAUCUAUAGUUGAUACUGAUUUUUCCCCUUAACGCAGCAAAGAAAAUCUUCAUUUCUGUAAUUUUCUCCAGAUCUUGAUUUUAGUUGUCGGAUGCUCAAACUUAUAUUCGCAGAAGCAGGAAACAAACAGAAGUAUGCUUAACUCACCUUAUUAGCAGUGUUGUAUGUGAACAUGCAUAAAUUAACCUGUACAUGAAAUGUGCUCAUUUCACGAUGAAAUGGAUCGCUCAAUAUGCAAAUUAGGAAAGUGGGUGCAGGUCACUUAAAAAACAGUAAAUGUUCCUCAUACUUUGAAAAGGUAGUGAAACUUGCUAGUAGUUACCAAGCACUGUGUGGCACCCACUACCCAGCAUGCAUUUGGCAUGGCCUAUGUUGUUAGCAAUUCAUUAAACACUGUUAAAUCAGUGCAGAUGAAGCCAUUUCUUGCAGGAUGAAUGUUGUACUGUAAAGUUUUGUCUGAGGCCUUAGACUUAAACAUUUAAAAUGCAAAAAUAAAAUGUAUUUUGUGGAAGAGCUU